GAUGAACGCUGGCGGCGUGCUUAACACAUGCAAGUCGAACGAUGAAAGCGGGAGCUUGCUCCUGCUGGAUUAGUGGCGAACGGGUGAGUAACACGUGAGCAAUCUGCCCCGAACUCUGGGAUAAGCGUUGGAAACGACGUCUAAUACCGGAUACGACGCGCGAAGGCAUCUUCUGCGCGUGGAAAGAAUUUCGGUUCGGGAUGGGCUCGCGGCCUAUCAGCUAGUUGGUGAGGGAACGGCUCACCAAGGCGACGACGGGUAGCCGGCCUGAGAGGGUGACCGGCCACACUGGGACUGGGACACGGCCCAGACUCCUACGGGAGGCAGCAGUGGGGAAUAUUGCACAAUGGGCGAAAGCCUGAUGCAGCAACGCCGCGUGAGGGACGACGGCCUUCGGGUUGUAAACCUCUUUUAGUAGGGAAGAAGCGAAAGUGACGGUACCUGCAGAAAAAGCACCGGCUAACUACGUGCCAGCCGCCGCGGUAAUAC
rnacentral:rRNA from 1 species